UACGGAGGAUCCGAGCGUUAUCCGGAUUUAUUGGGUUUAAAGGGUGCGUAGGUGGUCUUAUAAGUCAGUGGUGAAAGUUUGCGGCUUAACCGUAAAAUUGCCAUUGAUACUGUGGGACUUGAGUACAAAUGAGGUAGGCGGAAUGUGUUGAGUAGCGGUGAAAUGCUUAGAUAUAACACAGAACACCAAUUGCGAAGGCAGCUUACUGGGAUGUAACUGACACUGAGGCACGAAAGCGUGGGGAUCAAACAGGAUUAGAUACCCGGGUAGUCCACGCAGUAAACGAUGAAUACUAACUGUAUGCGAUAUACUGUAUGCGGUACAGCGAAAGCGUUAUGUAUUCCACCUGGGGAGUACGUUCGCAAGAAUGAA
rnacentral:rRNA from 1 species